GAGAGCCGUAUGCGGGAGACCCGCCUGUACGGUUCGGAGGGAGGGGAGGCGUAAGCCUUCAGACUGUGCCAAAUGAAUUCUGCGCAGUCUGUCUAUGUGCAUAAAAAAGGUAUAAAUACAUAUUUUAC
rnacentral:ncRNA from 1 species